UACGAAGGGGGCUAGCGUUGCUCGGAAUGACUGGGCGUAAAGGGCGCGUAGGCGGUGAGUACAGUCAGGCGUGAAAUUCCCGGGCUCAACCUGGGGGCUGCGCUUGAUACGUGCUGACUUGAGUUCGGAAGAGGGUCGUGGAAUUCCCAGUGUAGAGGUGAAAUUCGUAGAUAUUGGGAAGAACACCGGUGGCGAAGGCGGCGACCUGGUCCGAUACUGACGCUGAGGCGCGAAAGCGUGGGGAG
rnacentral:rRNA from 1 species